rnacentral:tRNA from 1 species
GCUCAGUUGGUUAAGUAUCAGACUCUUGAUUUUGGCUCAGGCCAUGAUCCCAGGGUCGUGGGAUCAAGUCCUGCACUGAGCU